rnacentral:lncRNA from 1 species
UUAUUUUUUUUUAAUUAAGAUACUAGAAAGUGUAAAAAUCUUGAAUUUAUAUUAAUACUUUGUUCAUUAAUUUUUGAAGUUCUAUUUUUCUAUAGGAUUUGUUAAAUAUUUGUUUAAAAUCUAAGAUUUGAUUAGGAUUUGAUUAGGAUUUGAUUUUAGAUUUAGUCUAGGAUUAGGUUAAGAUUAGGAGUUUCUUGAGAUUUGGUUAAGAACUUGACUAGGGAUUGAUUAAGUUUGUCUAGAGUUCGUCU